UACGUAGGUGGCAAGCGUUGUCCGGAUUUAUUGGGUUUAAAGGGUGCGUAGGCGGUCUUAUAAGUCAGUGGUGAAAUAUCCCGGCUUAACCGGGAGGGUGGCAUUGAUACUGUAGGACUUGAGUAAAGUUGAGGUUGGCGGAAUUGACGGUGUAGCGGUGAAAUGCGCAGAUAUCGGGAGGAACACCAAUUGCGAAGGCAGCUCGCUGGGACGUUACUGACGCUGAGACGCGAAAGCGUGGGGAGCAAACAGG
rnacentral:rRNA from 1 species